rnacentral:tRNA from 1 species
GCCCUGCUAGCUCAGUCAGUAGAGCAUAAAACUCUUAAUCUCAGAGUUGUGUGUUCAAGCCCCAUGUUGGGUG